rnacentral:tRNA from 1 species
GGGAAGGUAGCUCAGUGGUAGAGCACAUGCUUAGCAUGCUGUACAAGGUCCUGGGUUCAAUCCCCAGCAACACCA